AGCAGCCGCGGUAAUUCCAGCUCCAAUAGCGUAUAUUAAAGUUGUUGCAGUUAAAAAGCUCGUAGUUGAAUUUCGGGGUCAGUAGGUCGGUCGUGCCACUGGUAUGAACUGGUUUUACUGAUUCCUCCUUCUUGAAGAACUGUAAUGCCAUUAAUUUGGUGUUGCAGGGAAUCAGGACUGUUACUUUGAAAAAAUUAGAGUGUUUAAAGCAGGCUUUAGCUUGAAUACAUUAGCAUGGAAUAAUGAAAUAGGACGUUUGAUCCUAUUUUGUGGUUUCUAGGAUUGACGUAAUGAUUAAUAGGGAUAGUUGGGGGCAUUAGUAUUCAAUUGCCAGAGGUGAAAAUUCUUGGAUUUUAUUGAAGACUAACUACUGCGAAAAGCAUUUGCCAAGGAUGUUUUCAUUAAUCAAGAACGAAAGUUAGGGAUCGAAGACGAUCAGAUACCGUCGUAGUCUUAACCAUAAACUAUGACCGACUAGGGAUCGGAUGAUGUUAAUUUUUAAUGUACUCAUUCGGCGCCU
rnacentral:rRNA from 1 species